rnacentral:rRNA from 1 species
AGAGUUUGAUCAUGGCUCAGAUUGAACGCUGGCGGCAGGCUUAACACAUGCAAGUCGAACGGUAGCAGGGAGAAAGCUUGCUUUCUUUGCUGACGAGUGGCGGACGGGUGAGUAAUGCUUGGGAAUUUGGCUUAUGGAGGGGGAUAACGACGGGAAACUGUCGCUAAUACCGCGUAGUGUCGAGAGACGAAAGACCGGGACCGCAAGGCCGGUUGCCAUAAGAUGAGCCCAAGUGGGAUUAGGUAGUUGGUGGGGUAAAGGCCUACCAAGCCUGCGAUCUCUAGCUGGUCUGAGAGGAUGGCCAGCCACACUGGAACUGAGACACGGUCCAGACUCCUACGGGAGGCAGCAGUGGGGAAUAUUGCACAAUGGGGGGAACCCUGAUGCAGCCAUGCCGCGUGAAUGAAGAAGGCCUUCGGGUUGUAAAGUUCUUUCGGUGAUGAGGAAGGCGGUUAGUUUAAUAGGCUAAUCGAUUGACGUUAAUCACAGAAGAAGCACCGGCUAACUCCGUGCCAGCAGCCGCGGUAAUACGGAGGGUGCGAGCGUUAAUCGGAAUAACUGGGCGUAAAGGGCACGCAGGCGGUUGCUUAAGUGAGGUGUGAAAUCCCCGGGCUUAACCUGGGAAUUGCACUUCAGACUGGGCAGCUAGAGUAUUUUAGGGAGGGGUAGAAUUCCACGUGUAGCGGUGAAAUGCGUAGAGAUGUGGAGGAAUACCGAAGGCGAAGGCAGCCCCUUGGGGAAAUACUGACGCUCAUGUGCGAAAGCGUGGGGAGCAAACAGGAUUAGAUACCCUGGUAGUCCACGCUGUAAACGCUGUCGAUUUGGGGAUUGGGCUUUAAGCUUGGUGCCCGUAGCU